rnacentral:lncRNA from 1 species
GGCACCCCCCCACCAACAAAAUCUCCAUCAACUACUCCAUCAGCUCCUUCAGAGACAAAUUCAACUACUCCAUCACCACCAAAGGAUAAUGGAGCUUUUAGUGUUUCCAAUGGUGUUAGUCUUUUGAUGGGUUCUUUCUUUGUUUCAGCAAUGAUUUUGGGUUUGAUGGGCUAGGGAAGAGACAGUGCUAUUGUUAAUCAUCUUAAUUUAUGUACUAUUGGUUUGUUGAAUUUGCUUAAAUUUUAUUUAAUGAUCUGAGAUGUAUAUCUAAUCUUCAUCUUGAUGUGUAUGAGCUUUUAAUUAAAAAAGAGAUCAAAACUGCUUUAGAAAUCAAACAUUCUCUUAUAUGUGGGCCAUUUGAGGUACCUACUAUAUAGGAGGGAGCAGAUACUUCAUCACUUUUGUAGAUGAGCAUACUAAAAUGCUGUGGAUUUAAACAAUCAAAAUUAAAAGUGAAGCUCUUUAGAAGUAUUCAACAAAUUCAAAGUCGUAGUUGAGAAAGAGAGUGAAAAAUCAAUUAAAAUUUUGAGAACUGAUGGUGGCAAGGAGUAUACCUCAUCAAAGGAUUUUGAAGAAUUUUUUGCUAGAGAAGGUAUAACUCAUGAAAUCAUCUCUCCCUCUCCUCCCCAACACAAUGGCUUAGUAGAAAGGAGGAAUAGAAUCAUACUAGAUAUGUCAAGAAGCAUGCUCAAGCAAAAUAACAUGCCUCACAAGUUUUGGGGAUAAGCAGUGAAUAUUGUUGCUUAUAUUCUGAACAACUGCCUAACAAAAAGCUGAAAAACAAAGUAUCAGAAUAAGCUUGGAAUGGAAGAAAGCCAAAUGUGAAGCAUUUGAAAGUAUUUGGCUCAAUCUGUCUGUUACAAACACAUUCCUGAUGCAAAGAGAAGCAAACUUGAUGAUAGAAGUGAGAAAAUGGUACUUAUAAGCUAUCAUUCAACUAGAGCAUACAAACUGUAUGAUCCAAAAUCUCAAAAGGUGCAAACAAGUAGAGAUGCGAUAAUGAAUGAAAAAUGAAGCAUAACACUGGGAAAACAUAUCUGAAAUCAGAAAUGUGAAUUCACGUAUAUUCACUGAAUCAGAUCAAAGUGAAGAUUUAGAUGAAGAUAUUGAAGAUACAAAUAAUGUAAUUGAGAAUGAAGAAGAAGCUCAACCUAGACAAGUUCCCAUUAGACUUGAAGACUGUGAGGUGCUACCUGAUAGUGUAGUGAAUGAUGAACGAGAGUUCAUUCACUUUGCAUUUCUACCUCAUGCUGAACCACUUAAUUACAAAGAAGCAAUGCAAAUAGGUGUAUGGAGAAAAGGUAUGAUACAAGAAAUCAAAGCUAUUGAGAAGAAUAACACCCGUGAAUUAGUUGAAUUAUCAGAGAAGAAGAAAACCAUUGAUGUGAAAUGAAUUUUCAAGGUAAAAAUGAAUCCAGAUGGCACAGUUUCAAAACACAAAGCAAGGCUAGUGGCUAGAGGCUUCCUGCAGCGAUAUGGUGUUGAUUAUAAUGAAGUGUUUGCACUAGUGGCAAGAUUAGAAAAUGGGAGAUUGGUUGUUGCAUUAGAUAGCAGUAAGAAAUGAUCAUUGUUUCAUUUAGAUGUGAAGUCUUGAUUCUUAAAUGGACUAUUAGAAGAAAAAGAUGCAUAUGGUAUACGAACUGCAUAAGACACUUUAUGGAUUGAAGCAGGCUCCUAGAGAAUGGAACAAAUGAAUUGAUCAGUUCUUGAUUUAAAUUGGAUUUAAAAGAUGCAAAGUUGAAUAUGGUAUGUAUGUUCAGAACUUGAGUGAAAGUGAUAUCACAAUGAUAUAAUUAUAUGUGAAUGAGCUAUUGGUAACUGGAAGUAAUCAAAGUGAGAUUGAGAAGUUCAAACACACAAUGUAGUGUGAAUUUGAAAUGACUGAUUUAGGAAAACUCUCUUAUUUCUUAGGAAUGGAGUUUAAAGCUAGCAAGAUGGGAAAGGUUAUGCAUCAUCAGAAGUACAUUGGUGAACUGCUAGAAAAGUUUGAUAUGACAGAUUGCAACACUGUCACAAAUCCUUCUGAAACAAAUGCUAAGCUGGAUGAAUGUAGCAAUGAAGAGAAAGUAGAAGCUACAUAAUUCAAACCGAUAGUUGGAUCUCUGAGAUGCCUAUGCAAUAACAGACCUGAUAUAUGCUUUGCGGUAAGUAUCAUCAGUAGAUACAUGAAUGAUCCUAGGAAAUCUCAUCUCACUGCAGCUAAAAGAGUGCUAAGAUAUGUGAAAGGAACAAUGAAGUUUGACUUGCUAUUUCAAACUGAAAACAAUGGAGAAAAGGUUGAACUGAUAGGCUACUCUGAUUCAGAUUGGUGUGAAGAUAGAAGUGAUAGGAGAAGCACAUCUGGCUAUGUCUUCAAGUUCAACAAUGUUGCAAUAUCAUGGUGUACAAAGAAGCAUCCAACUACUGUAUCAUCAUCUUGUGAAGUUGAGUACAUAGCAGGUACAUUUGCAGCUUGUCAAGCAAUUUGGCUGGAUACAGUGAUGAAAGAGCUAAACUGUGAAGUAGAAAAUCCUUUGAAGCUGAAAUUUAAUAACAAAUAAGCUAUUAAUCUAGCUAAGAAUCCUAUAGCACAUGGAAGAAGUAAACACGUUGAAACUAGGUUAUAUUUCAUCAUGGAACAAGUGACAAAGGGCAUGAAUGAAGUGAUAUAUCACCCAACUAAAGCGCAGCUAGUUGAUGGAUUCACCAAGUCUUCGAAGCUUGACAAAUUUGUUUACUUGAGGGAUAAGCUAGGUCUCAUUGAUUGUUAGGAUUAUGGAUUAAAGGGGGUGUAUUAGAUGUGAUUAAUCCAUAAUCAUUUAGCAGAGUUAGUUUUAUAAUUAGCUUUACUUUGGAUAAGUUUAUUAGUUAGUUUGUAAAUCUCUUUUCAUUAAUUAAUGAAAACCAUAACAAACUUCAAACACUUUCUUCUCUCUCCAUAACCACUUUCUCAUUCUCCAUUUUUCUCAUUCUCUCAAUAUUCAUCCAUUAUUAAGAUUACUUGAAUAGCAAGAAAGCAAUAUCUGCGCUAAUAUGCAUUGCAAUCCAACUCAUGAAAACAUUUUGUAGCAAAAGAAAUAAUACUACACUACCCUGCCAUGAUGUAAAGUAUUUGAGCAUUUGGUGGUAGUGGCGGAGCCCUUCAUGGGCUGGGGUGGGCCACGGCCCAACAAAAAAAAUUAAAAAAUAAACGAUUAUAGAUCUAUUUUGCGAGAUUUUAUGCAAUUUUGUAUCGGUUUUAUGUUUUGGUUGAUUCAAAUUCCUAAAAAGUAGUGUAGUGGACCACCCAAAAAUUUAAAUAAUUCAAUUAUAGGUCUAAUUUGCGAGAUUUUAUACAAUUUUAUGUCGGUUUUAGGUUUCGGUUGAUCCAAAUUCCCGCAAAUUGGUGUAGUGGCCCAUCCGAAAAAUUUAAAUAAUUCAAUUAUAGAUCUAAUUUGCGAGACUUUAAACAAUUUUUCAAUAGUUAAUUUUAGUGGCCCACCUUAACAUUUUUUUCUAGCUCCGCAACUGUUUGGUGGCAAUGACUACUAAUUGGAUUAAUUCCAAAUGUGUGACACAACAUGUAGGAUAGUGCAUGUGAUAUAUUUAGGUAUGCAGUCAUAAGUUAAUUAGAAGCACAUGUUCGAUAGUUUUUUUGGGGGAUCUAGAUGAUCGAAAAACAAUGAACACUUUAUGGUCUCUUGAUCUCAUUUUGAUUAUAAGGCGCUUGCCGUAGCAAAAAGAAGGAAACAUAAGAAAUGUAGAAAUGAUUGAGGAACACAAAAACAAACACUUUAUUUUCAUAUAGCUUUGAUAUCUUUUACGUUUUUUAAAUGUUUUUAGCUCGACCUCAAUUUUCAUUUUGAUCAAUUGAGGUGGAAAAAAAAAGAUAGAACAUAAGAUGAUAUUGACUUUGUCUCGAUGAAUAUUUUAAAUUAUCAAUUUUUUUUAAUGAUUUUUGCUGAUAAAUAAUCAAAGAUAUUAAAUGUCAAAAUUAUAUGUUGACAUAUGCGAAACAAUUAAUUAGAUCAGUCAUUUUAAAAAAUAGGAGUACAUGACAAACUCAAGUAAAAAAUUGAUAGAAAUGAUCGUUUGAAUUGGCUUAUUUUAAAGCUUAUGCAAAUAAAUAAGCAUUAAUGUAUCAUUUAAAAGUUUGUUAAGGUAGUUUAUCUAAAAACAACUUCUAAAUAUACAAUUUUCGUUAGUAGGAUAUUAUAAAUUAACAUUAAAACUUAAUUAUUUGUAUAAGCUCGAAAUAAGCUCAAUCCAAAAACAUAUAGCGAACAUAUUUAGGAACAAAAAUGUCUCAAGGAUGAAAAGAGACCAUAACAAAUGAAAAAUUUGAGAACAAAAGUGAAAUAUGAAAAUAAAAAAAUAAAAAAAAUCAAACGUUUAAUUUAAUUUUUAUAAAAUAUAUUUCAUAAUCCAAUAAAAAAAAAAAUCAUGAUCUUCUAGAAGCCUUCCACACGCAAGAUGAUAGUAAUAAUUUGCAGCACACUUCAACUGACUAUUCUUGCCUCUGUUUGACUCUGUUUUGGUCAUUACAUACAUGCCACAUCAUUUGUUUCUUUCAAAAGAUUACCUAAUCUAUUCAACGUUGAGGCUUUGGAACAAAGAAAAAGUGGCCAACCUUUGUGACAUGGAUGUGAGAUAAGAAUAAAAAAUAAAAAUGAUAAUUCAUUUGUUUUUUUUUGUUUUUUCCUAGUUAGUUAUUCCCUUCUCCAGAAACAAACAUUCGAAUAAAUUAAAUAAUUGACUUCAUAAUUGAAACUCCCUUAAAGUCUUCAACUACUCUCAUUACAUUGUUAAAGAAGUUAUUUUUUGACAAACUUACGGAAGGGUUGGACAAUUUGACUUAACACAAAAUACUCUAUCAAAAAAUUACCAGCAUUUGUAUAUUUUUAUUUUAAUACAGACACGUCUUAAAUAUGAUUAACUCUAGCGAUAAGAAUCUUUGAGGAAAAAAAUAUGAUUGAUAAGUCAUUUAAAGAUGGAGUUCAAAAUAACUAUUUAUGGGUUGAGAUAACAAGAGCCAACCUUUUAUCAAUAUUUUAUUGAACAAUAAUUUCUAACAACAAAAACAAUUAUUUUUUUUGUUAACAACAAAAAUAAUACCCUCUCAGUCCUAUAACAAGUGAACCUUGUAUUAAAAAAAAUAUUUUUUAAAUAAAUGAUCUAUUUCACUUUUCAAUGCAAUAUUAAUAACUUUUUUUUUCUUCAAUUAUAACUCUAAUUAAUAUUAAUUUCAUCACCCUCAAUUUCAUGUUUUUCAUUUUACAUUUAUGAUAAUGGUGAAUGUGCUGAUACUUGAUAAGAACACUUAAAAUAAUUUUUCUAUCUCUUUCACUUGUACAUUUUUUUUUUUAUAUGUGCGAAAUAAAUAAAAGAUUCAUUUAAUUUAUGAUAGAAAUAGUAAACAUUAGGUUAGAAGUAUACAUAAUACUUAUAUAAUAUAGUCACUUUCUAAUUUAUUUUUCAACGUAAUGAGUAUCAGAUAAUUUUGAUAUUUAUUCUAGAGUUUUGUUAUAAAGUGUCAUCGUGAAUUUAACUCUGUUGAUAGAAACAAUGUAUAAUAUUUAAAAUGUUCGGGGUUCUAACCCUAACCAUAAAAUAAAAAAAGUCUUGUUAUCAAGUGUCAAUUUUAAGGAACCCAUGGAUAAUAAGUUUUGGUCUGCAGUUUCGGUGGAUGUGGGUGAAGCUUUAGGGGUGCACUCUGCUUUGCAAUGGUUGAGUGAUAUGCAGUUUGACAAUAUGAAUUUUGAAACAGACUCUAAGUUGACAGCUGACGCCUUCCUUUCUACCAGGAACGACUUGUCCGAAUUUGGUUGCAUUAUUUCCUCCUGUCGUUCUUUAUUCUGUACUUCAUUUUCUAACUCUAGGGUGGAGUUUGUUAGGCGACAAGCCAACGUGGUUGCUCAUGCUCUUGCUAAAGAGAUCACGUCUUUAGCUAAUCGAAUCGUUUAUUUUAAUAUAUUCAAUUAUAUUGAAACUUUUAUUAUUAAUGAAAUGCUACAAAUAUGUUUUUCUUAAAAAAAUAAAAUAAAAUAAAGUUUUAGUCCGCAUUGGUUAACUUUUUUUUUUUCCGCGUACGUUGUGUGUAAUCAUAUCAUAGUAUAUAAAUACCACACGUGCUUCCUGGUAAAUGUGUAAUAUACAACUUGUCGAUUUGUUAAAUGUCUAUUAGCUUACCAAGUCACAUUUUUUUAUGGGAAAAGAAUCUCAAUGCAUUAGGUAGAAGCUGCCUUUAGAAAUUAGAAGACAAUAUCAAAUUGUCAAUAACCACUUCAUUAUUAUUUUUUCUUUCUCUUUUUUGGGUGCAUAACUACUCUCAUAUUAUUUAAAUUUAAUUUCAAUAUGGAGUAGUUGAUGACAUUGACAUAGUAAACACAGGAAUAUUUAGUACUAUAUAUAUACACCCCUCCUUCCAUAACCUCAUCCAUCAUUGGCACAAGUUCUAAUUCUAAUAUACUUAGAAACAUUUUCUUACAAACACUUUCUUUCUUACAAACAUUUUCAUUUUGAGAACUAAAGUUUAUAGGCAUGAAUACAUCAAUGAUAGCUUCUUUCUUUGUUCUUUUGUUGGCCUUUCCUUAUGCAUUUGCAACUGAUUUCACCGUUGGUGAUGCCAAUGGAUGGAAUCUAGGAGUUGAUUACACCAAAUGGGCUUCUGGAAAAACUUUCAAAGUUGGUGAUAACUUAGGUAUGUAUACAUUCUGGCGGCGCGCAGCUUGUUGUCUGCUUGCCUUCUAUUCAAGUGUAAAUAAUUGUUUAUAUAUUGAAAUAUGAAUAUUAUGUUUUUUCUUAUUUGGAAAAAAUGAAAAAGAUUGAUAUUGCUAAAUUUGAGGUCUAAAAUACUAUUACAUCAUGAAAUCUUAAUUAUAGAAAUAAUAUAAAUGUAUUUUGCAAUCUACAUUAGAGUUAACAAAUUAUUUUGUAUCUUGAAAAAACAGUGUUCAAAUAUGGCUCCUCCCACCAAGUGGAUGAAGUUGAUGAAAGUGACUACAAAAGCUGCACUUCAAGCAAUGCCAUAAAGAACUAUGCUGGUGGAAAUUCUAAGGUUCCAUUGACUAAAGCAGGAAAAAUUUACUUCAUAUGCCCUACUCUAGGUCAUUGUACUAGUACUGGUGGCAUGAAGCUUGAAGUAAAUGUUGUUGCUGCUAGCACCACCCCAACUCCAAGUGGCACCCCCCCACCAACAAAAUCUCCAUCAACCACACCAUCAACUACUCCAUCCACUACUCCAUCAACCACACCAUCAGCUCCUUCAGAGACAAACUCAACUACUCCAUCACCACCAAAGGAUAAUGGAGCUGUUGGUGUUUCCAAUGGUGUUAGUCUUUUGAUUGGUUCUUUCUUUGUUUCAGCAAUGAUUUUGGGUUUGAUGGGCUAGGGAAGAGACAGUGCUAUUGUUAAUCACCAUAAUUUAUGUACUAUUGGUUUGUUGAAUUUGCUUGAAUUUCAUUUCAUCUUGAUGUGUAUGAGCCUUUAAUUAAAAAAGAAAACAUUUCUUCUUUUAUAGGCAUAAUAAUUCCUUCCUUUUGUUGUUUGGUUGUCAAUAAUUGAAAUGGAAACAACUAUAUAUUCACUCAAAUAAGAAUUUACUAGGAAAAAUGUUCUAUUU